rnacentral:rRNA from 1 species
GAUGAACGCUAGCGGCAGGCUUAAUACAUGCAAGUCGAGGGGCAGCAUAGGUAGCAAUACUUGAUGGCGACCGGCAAACGGGUGCGGAACACGUACGCAACCUUCCUUUAAGUGGAGAAU